CAAGAUGCUACAGGAGAAAAUGACAGUAAGACACAAAAGCUAGGGUCACCUCAGCUGGGGACUAGACAACACCAAGUCAGUUCUAUCUCUCAUUGAGUGACAGUGAAAAUUCCUGUCUUUUGGAAUGAGAGGUGGUUUAUUACCCCCCUCUUUCUUUCCAAGUAUGUGUGUGAUGUUAUGGUGCCUAUAUGUACCCACAGAGAGGGGACAUACCUUUAGUCCCAAAUGCUCAUGGGCCAGCUAGCCUGGAGUACACAGACGGGCAGAGACAGCCAGUGACACCCUGUUCUCUUUUCUCUUCCUCCACCAAAUGCUUGUCUUAUAUGUGAUAAAUAUGCAAGUGUGCCUGUCCACACGUAUAUAAUUUUUUGAGACACUACGUCACUGUGUAGCCUUGACUGGUCUGGAGCUAAUUAUGUAGACCAGGAUGACCCAAACUCAUAGAGAUCUUCUUGCAGAUUCUGCCUCCCAAGUGCUAGGGUGAAAAGCAUAAACCACCCCACCCAGCAAAUGUAUAUAUAUAUAUGUAUAUAUAUGUAUAUAUAACAGUAUGACAAUGUAACAUACUUAUUAUAUAGCUCAUGCUGUUUUUUUGUUUUGUUUUUUGUUUUUUUGGGGGGGGCUCUUUUUUUUCGGAGCUGGGGACCAAACCCAGGGCCUUGCGCUUCCUAGGCAAGCGCUCUACCACUGAGCUAAAUCCCCAACCCUGCUCAUGCUGUUUUGAGCUCAUAGAAAUCCUCCUGCCUCAGUAUACACGUAUGUACGUGCGCGUGCACGAGCGCGCGUGCACGCACACACACACUCUCUCUCUCUCUUCAAGAGACCAUCUUAUCACACAGCACAAGCUGGCCUGAGCCGUGCUGUUCUGAUUUCACAACCUCCUGAACGCCGGGAUUCCGACCAUGCCUGGCUCACCCCAACUUUGCAGUUUUCUUUGGGCUCCUUCAGAUUUCCUCUGACAAGCACCACUUUAUUCCUGAGCCCGGCUUUCCUGUUUCUGUGCAGACAGAAGCUGUUGCCUGGCACGCACAGAGGAGUUAAGGGUCUGUGUGUGUUGAGGAAGCUGAGAGAACCCAGUAAACACAUCAAAUGUCAAAGUGAUGUGUACUGAGGAGAAAAAAACGUGUGAGGGAGGCAAACCGGGAAAGACAGGGUUGGAAGGGAAAUGGUGGCAUUUACAUCAGUACAGCUCCUUAUCACAUGGGGGCAGCAUCCCAGGGUUCUUAUCCAGAUUGGGACAGAGUGUGGCUCAGGGGUAGAGUCCCUGCCUAGAAUCCCGCAGUGAAGAACUGGAGUGUGGCUCAGUGUCUAAGUGUCUGUUUAACAUCCACAAGGCCCUGACUUUCAUCCCAAGUGGAGGGAGAAGAGAACAGACCAGCCAUGGCGCAAAGUUCAGCCAUUCUCUGUUAUCUACAGUGCGUGCUUCCAGGAUGACCUAGUGCCGUACUGAAACAACGGGUCCACAUUCCUCCUGUGGACUGGGGUGCUAUGUAUGUCAACCUGCAGACAACCUCCUGUGGAUUGUGUGUAUGGGCGUACAUGUGCCACGGGCUGCUCGAGGAGGUUAGGGGACGACCUUCAGAUGCUGACCCUUGCCUUUGCCCUUGUUAGACACAAGAUCUCUCCCCUGCUAUUGAACGAGGUAUAUUGAGAUUAAAGGGAUGCACUUGUACUUACACACACACACACACACACACACACACACGUCUUAAAUUACAUAUAUAUAUAUGUAUAUAUAUAUAUAUAUGCCAUACAUAUGUUUAAGACAAGUUUUUACUUUGUAGCCCAUGUUGUUGGUCUUGGAAGGGGGACAGUUUUCCUGUCUCCCCUUAAGUGCUGUGUUAAUAGGCAGGAACCUCCAUUCCCAGCUACAAAACACUCUGCCUCUGGGCUAGAGCUCCAGCUCUAAAAUAUUAGCAUUAAUUAUUGUUCUUUGUGGUACUGAUGAUGGGGUCCAAGACCACAGCCAUGCAGAGUGAGCCCUGCCACUGGGAUCCUCCUUUGACCCCUGGCCUCUCUGAGACAGGUUCUCACUUGUAAUCCAAGCUGGCUUUAAACCUGUGAUCAUUCUGCCUCAGCCUCCCAGAGACCACAAGCACAGAACACUGUGUCCAACUGGAAUUGCACUGUCUUAGGAUCCCCAUCUUGCCCCUCGCUUUCUCAGACCUUUCUCAGAGCAAAGCCCUGUGUCACUGCAGCCCCCCCCCCCAGUCUCUCUGCUGAUUCUGCUCCAGCCCUCCCCCCCCAUCACUAUUCUUCAAAGACAAAAGGAGUUCAAGUCUACCCUUGAACUAAAACAAAUACCAGGGUGGGGGCAGGGCCAGAGCCUGAGAUAAUCAGAACUGGGCAUGGGCAGGGCUGGUGCUCGAUAGGAAAUCAGCCCAAGGAUGGCCCACAGAUCCAAGAUCAAGGUCCUCUGUGGCUCCUGAAUCAGGAGGCAGGAAACUGGAAAAGGGAGACCCCCAACAGUGGAGCACAGUGCCGAAGAGAUCCAGGGCACAGUCAGACACUCUCAGACCUAGGCUUCAGGGCUGCCCCAAGUGUGCUCACCCUGAGACCUUGGCUUUAGCUGGCCCAGGCCUCAGGAGAGCCCAAGCACUGGCUUCUCUUCUGCCGAGCGUGAUUCAGCUGGCUCCCAGGGGCUUGGAAGCACCCACUUCCCCAAGGGUGGUAGGAAUCGGGAGUGCAACCUGGGGACUAUCAGGAUGUGCCUUGCCUGCCCGGUGGACAGCGGGAGUCACAGGAGGUUGUGGAGCAGAGGCAGGACAUGAUUAGGGCUGGCAAGAGGAAGACAAGCUUGACAGAUUGGUGGUGAUGAAGCCCGAGUGAGGAAGGAGCUGAGAGCAGCCGGCGUAAUGAGGGCUAGAAGUAGGGCAGAGGCGGUGGGAGUACAAAGGAGGCCCUGGUUUAUAUAUAGCUGCCAUUAACGCUAUGCAUCAGGGAGCCUGCCUGGGCGCGCUGUAUCCGGCCUGCAUCUGAGGCUGCCAGCCACUCAUGGCCCAUUUUACAGAGGAGGAUGCCAAGACCCAGCAGAAAUCAGUAUACCAAGAUCUGAGUCACACUAAGAGGGAACCUGAAUUCAGGACCUCAGGUGUGAACAGCUUCACUUGCCCACCCUGCAGAACCUGACCCUCAGGGGACUGCUUGGAUGCGGAAGGGUCUCGCUGGAGAACAAAGGCACUCAUUUGUUCGUUCAACAGAAACUUAGGUACCAGGCUUUUGGGGAGCGCCACAGUGAACAGCUAAGGGGAGAGCCUGGUGGGGAAGAGUUCCAACUUCUCCAGCAUCCAACCAGGGAGUGAGAAUUGUGUGGGAAAGGGAGAGACUAAGGUGAUGCCAGGGUUUGGUGUGGGUCAAAGAGUUGGUACCAAUGGAGGUAGGAAAAUCUAGGAAGGAGGAGGCUCCCGGGGAUAUCAGGACUUGAGGGCGGGUGUGCUAAGCUGGAAAUGUUUGAGUUAAAGGCCUUCCGGUGGUGCCAGGCACCACAGCUAGGCCUUUAACCCCAGCACUCAGGGGGCAGAGACAGGUGGAUCUCUGUCAGUUCCAGGCCAGGCUGGUCUACAUAGUGAGAUCCUUCUUUUUUUAAAAAGACACACACACACACACUCACACUCACACACACACUCACACACACACUCACACACACACUCACACACUCACACACACUCACACACACACUCACACACUCACACACACACACUUAAAAAGCCUAUGGCCUAUGGGUUAGGCAGGAAAUGGGAGGUGGGCCAUCCUGAAGGAGAAAAAAUUCUGGGUUAAAGCCAGGUGGGAGAUGCAUCCGGGAAGACAUGACAAGACAGACGCAUGGUACCUGUGCACAGGUAAACAACCAGUCAUCUAGCAGAAUGCAGGUUAACAUAAAUGGGUUAUCGUUAAGUUGUGAUUCUAGUUAGAGAAGAGCCUAGCUGUAUGGCCAAAGUAUUUGUAAAUAUAUUUUGAGUCUGAGUCUUAUUUCUGAGAGUAUGGGGGCUGGGAGGAAGAACUGGGCCUAACUUUUACAGACUCAACACAAACACACACACACACACACACACACACACACACACACACACACACACACACACAAAAUAUGUGUAUGUGAGACUUCCAAGAAAAUUCUCUACCAAAAUCAUGAGAGUUUGCUUGGCUCAGCUCUUGCUGUUUCUCACUGAGUUCUCCCCCCCAACCCACCAAAGACAAUUUUCUUCUCUUUCAGGUGUCAGGAACACUGUGACUUCCUGGCCUCUCUUCUUCCUCACCUCGCCGCAUUCAAACCAUGGUCCAAACUGAGACCUGUAUGCCCGGAGCAGUACCCCUCUUCCUCUCUGAGAGGACAGACAAUUCUCUGGCAGUGUCCUGUAGCAUCUCGUGCUCCCUAAAUAUUUUGUGGGUACGUGGUACAUUAUGACAAGGGAUAGGGCUAUAGGCUCCCGAGGGCCCCUGAGCAGACAGAAAUAGUGGAAAGGGGACACCUGAAGAAGAAACACUAAGUAAAAGCAGGUAUGUGGUGAGGGCUGGCCAUCUCAGCCCUCUGGAGAAUGCCGCAGGAAGAGCACAGGACAGUCAAGGCCCAAAGAGGAUGAGGAUACAGAAGUCCACGUGGAAGACAGUGGCAUCCUGAGGGAAGGGCAAAGGUCUCUGAGAAGGAGGUCACUGGCAUUCGGCAGCACCAGCAGGACACAGAAGACAGAGGGAAGCCACCCACAACACCAGUGAGAAGAGAGAGCUCUCAGGCCAGACUAGAGUACUGGAUUUAUUUAAGAUUUGUUUUAUUUUCAAUCAAUCGUGUGUAUGUGUGUUUAGUUGUAUAUAGGCAUGUGAGUGUAGUUGCCUGUGGCGUCCAGCAGAGGGCACUGGCUAUCCACAAGCUGGAAUUACAGGCAGUUGUGAGCUUUCCAAUGUGGGGUGCUGAGUCCUCUGUAGGAGCAGCCAGUGUCCUUGAUAGCUAAGCCACUUCCCCAGUCCCUGGGUACAUGUAUUAACACAUCUCGGGAGGAUACCGAUGGCACGCCCCUUGGUUUCCAGGAGCUGAGCUGCCCACAGGUAACCACAUAAAGCUGCAUUUUACUAUGGGAUUUCGAAAGCACCCGUUACUUAUGGAGACAGAGUGGCUCAGACUGACUCUGUCCCUCCAAAUGCUGGGUUAAUAGCUUCCCUAUAGCUUUAAAGUGUGCAUCUGAAAUGACUGAAAUUAAGCAAAGAAACAACAACCAAAAAAAGCAGCUAUAGUGGUCACAUGUGGAGCGCACAUAGCCACCCACGGGCACACAGAGCAUUCCCUUCACCAUGCAAAAUUACAGUGGACAGUGAUGGCCCUGCAUGGCCACUCUGGAAGGACUGGGAUUCCUGUCAGGACCUAAAGUUAUGUUUGACAAACAUGAGGUACUCGAGAAAUGUUUGUUGAAUGCGUGAAUGGUGGUGAGGGAAAGGUUCACAACUGUGGAGAUAACAUGCUCCUCUAGGAGAGACAGGAGGCUACGAAGUUUAAAGCAAAGGCUCAUAGGCUACACGAACCACUCAAGCCACUUCCCACCCUCCCUUGGUGACAGAGUGUGCCUCCUGGCAAAGUCCGAGAAAAUGAUCAGCACUGGACUUUUUCCCCUCUGAAUGCCUUGCUAUGGGUGUGCUGGUCACAUGACCUAGUCACAUGAUAACAGAGCCCAACUAGGUUUGCUGGGUACUUAUGGGAGAGAGUUUCUCCUGGAGAAGAGUCAAUGACAGGAAACAUCCCCCUCUCUUCCUGUCUGUGGCUGAUGGCUCUGUGUGUGUCUAGAUAUGAUGACUGGAAGACAUCUUGGAACUGUUGCUGGCCAUAGGGAGACUGAACGAUUAAGAAGCUGGAAAGACUCCAUAGGGUGUGGCCGCACUGCAGAUCUGAUCCUACAAUCAAGCGGCCUCCGAACUUUCUGUAAUGACGGUUUCAAAGGGUCCAGAUCCAAAUUGUUCUGAUCACACGUUGUGUAGCCUUGGCCACCAUCUCAUGUUUCUGAGCCUCAGUUUCCUCCGUAAACUGGAGACGGUAACUCCUUCCUUUAUAGGUGGAGAGUUUCUGGCAUGUGUGUGAGCCUCUGGAAUGCUGGCUGCUGCUGCCUUAUGCUCACCUCUUGAUGCUAUUUGCAGCCAAAUUCUUUCGGGAUCGGCUUCCCCUGGGUUGUGGCUGUGCGGAGGAGCAUCACUGUUCUCUGCUGGUUGGAAGUGGGAAGUAAGCACGGACUUCCUUCUUCUUCCACUCCCCUCCCCCACAUGUGGUGCAUGCAGGUGGAGGCCAGAGGUUGAUCCCACUGUCCGUCUCUCUUCUACCUUGCUCAUGCCAUCAGACUGGGAGCUGGUGCACCUGCAUUUGCACGAGUUCUAGGGAUCUGAACUCAUGACCUGGGGUUUGUGCGCCGUGUUCCAGUCCCCUAUCAGUAAGUAGUAACAGGGGCCGUAAUUACCAUGCCCUUGUGAAUGAGGAGAGAAGCAUGUGGCAAAGCCUUGGGGUUGGAGCCUGGAGUGAUCAGUGAGGUUGACGGCUGAAGAGGCAGUGGAUGUGGAAAGCUGUGGAGAUCAUGGGAGCUGCUGUGACUCCCUACCCCAGCUUAGGUGAGACCCCUGCUUUUAAGACUCACAGUCUCGGUACUCAUGGUCCCAGGUGAAGCCCGGGAGCAUGGCUGUCCCUCAGUAAUCUGGCCAGUGUGGGGUUGUACAAAUCUACCUUCUGCUCUACACAGGACCCAAGAAACACGUCUGCUGGAGCCUAGUCCUCCUGGGAGAAGGGGUUAAGCCAGGAAGAAAUCAGAGCUCAAUGGUGUCGCAGGCCUUUAAUACCAGCAUAUGGGAAGUUGAGGCUGGCAGAUCUGUGAGUUGUAGGUCAGCCAUUGUGAGACCAUGUCAAAAGAAGGAGUUCAGGUGAAGGGGUGUCUCCACCCUCUGCCCUGUAAGGACGAAGCCAGCAAGUGUCACCUUGGGCAUGGGGAGGCAACUGGCCUUGGCCUUGGGUUUCUGAUCCUUCAGUGCUGAACUUUCCUGAUGUUGCCACCCUCAGGUAGCAGUUUUUAGUACUGAGGUGGACAGAGAUGCCUCGCCUUUUCCCGUCUCUGGAAAACUGUCUUGAAAAUCUUUUUUAGAACCUUCAGAGUUAACUAAUGAGGCAAACAGAGCUGCUUCACCUUGGCCUUGAGCGGGGCACCUCUCUAGGUCAUCCAUUCAAAUGUCAGUUGCAUUUCAGCUCCUAGCUAAGAUUUUGCAGUAUUGGUCUGUGCUGUAUUGGGAAGAUGGAAUCCAGGGUCCCGUCACGCACGCCAUGCUCACGGUUCCUCACUGGUGACUUUAGGCUGGCCCUCUGCUUCGAGCCAGGCUCCUGGGCCUUUCAACUCUAUUUUUAUAAUUCUGCCUUGUUAGGCAAUCAAUGUUGAGUUUAAUUUGGUCCUGCUGGAAUGUGUCCUUGCAAAUCACAUGCUGCCCUCUGACAGUAUCUAUCUGUAACUGAUAUUCAUAGGAUGAAGUUCACUAUCGUGCACUGCUGCUGUCUGUUUCCACCCAGAACCAUGCUUGAAGUGCCGUCUAGGAGGAGCCACUGGGCAGACUGUCUGGGGCUUUCACUAGGCCUGGGUCCUACAGAUGCCCUUUUCCAAACUUGAGGUAAACCCUGCAUGGACUCCGGGCAGCUCCUGAGUAUGCCCUGUGUGACUAUGUUCCUCGGUUCCCGGAAAGGGGUCCUGGACCUAAUGCCACUAGGCACAAUGGAUCCCUGGGUCUUAGACCUGUGGUUCUCAUCAACUAGGGGUUGAGUAUGUUUUAAAAAGUGCAAAGGCAUGUAUUUUACCCAGAUGAUGCAGAGACCACCCAGGGGCCUGCAGCCCUGCACAGUGUCAAGUGCUGGGCAUCUUCUAAAGAUGACUUUAGGUCUAAGGGAGGAUGUGCAUGCUUCUCUGUGAGUACCACAGCCUAGGAAGCUCUAGCUUCAGGCUCCUAAAGGGAAAAGCAACAACUCUGCCUUUACUCAGGUUCAGAGCUUGUAGUCUUGGUUUUUUUGUUUGUUUGUUUGUUUGUUUUUGUUUUGUUUUGUUUUUUUGGUUCUUUUUUUUCGGAGCUGGGGACCGAACCCAGGGCCUUGUGCUUCCUAGGUAAGCGCUCUACCACUGAGCUAAAUCCCCAGCCCCAUAGAGCUUGUAGUCUUGAUGGUGCCAUGAGGUCUGUCCCUUGUUUCUCUGCUUCAUCCUGAGGCCCUCUGACUGCUCACCCACUGGAACACUGCACCCACAUGCGGGGAAUACUUCUUUCCCUUCGUCUUCUAAGUUAACAAGGCAAAUGAAAGGAUUUCUUUCUCUUUGGGGCAAUUUCUGAGCCUCUCAAAGUGGAGUUUUCUUAAGAAGGGCCAGGGUGUCUUAGUCAGGGCUUUACUGCUGUGAACAGACACCAUGAUCCAGGCGACUCUUACAAGGGCAACAUUUCACUGGGGCUGGCUUACAGGUUCAGAGGUUGAGUCCAUUAUCAUCAAGGCAGGAGCAUGUCAGCAUCCAGGCAGGCAUGGUGCAGGAGGCUGCUACCAGAAUACUAGCUUCCAGGCAGCUAAGAUGAAGGUCUUAAAGCCUACCGCCACAGUGACACACUUCCUCCAACAAGGCCACACCUCCAUACAGUGCCACUCCCUGAGCCAAGCAUAUUCAAAACACUACAUAGGGCCUUGGAGGAAGCAGCCCUGUAGCUGCAACAUGGUGCCAGGGUUACUAAGGCUGCACAGUGUGGAUGAAGGAAAUGGGUCCCAAGAGUCUGAGAAGGGUGGAAGUGAGGUGGAAGUGAGGCGGAAGUGGUGGGGAGAUAGUGCCGUAAGCCAGGCAGGGGAAAACAUGCCUUCUACACAGAGGCUAGCAUCAAGAGGACACAGUGUAGAGGGAAGCUCUCAAUGACAGGGGCAGGUGUUGAAUGUAGUACUAGUGUCCCACGCAGGUGAGGGGAACAGGAGUUCAAAGGAGGCAUCAGAGACAGAGUAAGACCCUGACUCAAGCACAUACAUCCCCAGAAAGAGGAGAGAGAAAGAAAGGGACAACCAUAUUCAUAGACAUUUGGCAGAGCCUUAAGGAAUCGAAGGGUUCCAAACACAUCCAAAGAAAUGGGCUGCCUGCACAUCCUGUUAUCCCACGUCAUCCAACUCUGUGUACAUCGGGGAUGACGGGAUCAUCGAACCUUUAAAAACCAGGGCCCAGUGGGAGGUCACAGUUCUCAUAGGACUCUCCUCAGGUUUUCCAAGAGGGCUGUAUGAAACUGCAAGACCAGGAAUUUCUCUUGUCUGUUAGUUCCAUAUAACCGACCCUCACCCACACCCUAUGAUACCAACCAACUGUAUGGAGGAAUUCUGGAGGCCCUUACCAGAGCUCAGCUGUAACAAACUCAGAACUGAAGAAUCUGUUGCCUUUAGAAACUGCCCAGCCUUGGGUGUUUGGUCAUCGCCACGGAAAUGGAUCAAUGCACGUAGUGUGCGACUCUGCGGUUACACUUAGUGAAUUCUGCACAGGUAAUACUUGUUCACAGCUGGGGUGUGGCCGUGACAACCUCCAUCUGUUCUCCAAUCAGCUGUGCUGUGUGGUGGAGCCACGCGGACUACAGACCCGAUAAUACUUUGCUUUCUGCGUGGGUUUGCCGAAAGGUAGGUCCAGGGACUGCAUCUCUGCCUCAAACCUUGGGUUUGGAUACGGGUAAGUGUCUGGUCUAUACUCCCAGAAUGCUCUGCUUCAGUUCCUGGUUGGGUUCACCCAAGGGUAGGUGCUGGGGCUGCAUCUUUGGUUAGUGUCUGGCUAGGGAAUGUACCAGAACAUCCAGGGAGGGGCAGUGCUUCCCUGAUCCUUCCCUGACCUUAGUUCCUCCUGCAGGGCUGGACCUCCAACGGGUCUCCAGGACAGAGAACUGACUUCACUCCUGAGACCCCAUAGCCUUGUCUGUUUUAUUGUUGCUAUCUGCCAAGGUCCUCCAGGGCUUACAGCACUGGGAACCAACGGCUAGAGAGUCCGGACUGGGUCAGUUCCCUAAGGGUACAGCUAAUAAGCCAAGAGCAGAUUUUCAGGCAGAAGGCACCAAACACAGAGGAGGGGGCAGGAAAUUAUAUUUCUUUAAAAUGGUCUGAUAAGGAAAAUAAGGAGGUAACAUGGCCUGAGACAGGGAGGGGCCUCUCACUCCAGAACCUGCUUGUAGUCCCUGAGAGUUGAGAACGACACCCUGACUCAAUGAGGCCAGCAGGAUGGUUCAGAGGAUAAAGGGGCCUGAGGCCAAGCUCAUGUCCUUCACACUGGCACCUACUGAUUGGUUAGACUGGCCAGCCAGCAAGCAUCCCCAGCACUGGUUAAAGAUGCUUUCUGAAAUUCCAGGUUCCUUAUGUGAUGCUGGGGAUGGGACCCAGGCCCUCACAAGCAUUUCCCAGAGGGAACUAUCACCCCAGUUUCUCUGUUUCAAGAGACAUUUUAAGUAAGAAGAGUCGAGUACCAGGAACCCCUGCUCAGUUAAAAUACAUUUGAGUUAUCUCUUUGUUUGCUCAUCUCACCAGGGGACUAAAAACCAUGGUCAGGGCUUGGAGAGAUGACUUAGCAGCGAAAAGUGCAUGCUGUCCUUGCAGACGGCCUGAGUCGGGCUCCCAGCACCCACAGAUCAGCUGAGGAGUACCUGCAACUCCUGCUUUAGAGGAUCUGGUGCCCCCUCCUGGCCUCCACAGGCAUUGCACUCACAUGCACAUUUCCAAACAGACACACAGGUACACAUAUCAUUAAACACACACACACACACACACACACACACACACACACACACACACACACACACACGCACGCACUUUUGAGAGCCCUGUUCAGGUCCAGGAAAACAUGUUCCUUGACCUGUGGGUAGACGGGAGUCUGUAAUGGCUGUUCUUGGUUGUCAACGUGGCUAUAUCUGGAAUGAACUAAAACCCUCAAAUGGUUGGACAUCCCUGUCCAACUGAAUCAUUUGAAGUGGGAAGACCCACUUCUAAUUCAGAUCUUCCACGUGGGAAGGCACAACUUUAAUGCAGCUCAUGUGAGGUGGGAAGAUCCACCUCUAAUCUGGGCCACAUCUCCUGCUGGCAGCCUAGAGACAGGGCAUGAGGAAGGAAGCUUUGGCUCUUUGCCUGUUUGCUCUUGCCUUGCAAGCAAGUCCAUUCCUUCUCUGGCAUUAGAUUCUACUUCUUCAGGACUCCAGCGUAUAUGGAUGACUGGCUGAGACAUCCAGCCUCGUGGACUGAACAACUACUGGAUUCUUGAACCAUCUGUUCAUAGCCAGCCAUUGUUGGCUUAGCUGGACCACACCCUUUAAGCCAUAUUAAUAGAUCCCUCCCCCCUCCAUUCUAUAAGUUCCAUUCCUUUGGAGAACCCUAAGACAGAGUCCUUGGGUAACGUACCUUUUUGCCUCAUCUUAGCCAUCGCUCUUCAUAAACCAUCUUACUCAGAUAAGCUCCUCAGAUGCAAAUAGGAACACUAAGAUAUUUUUUUCUUUUCUUUUCUUCUUCUUUUUUUUUUUUUUCGGAGCUGGGGACCGAACCCAGGGCCUUGCGCUUGCUAGGCAAGCGCUCUACCACUGAGCUAAAUCCCCAACCCCCUAAGAUAUUUUAAAUCCUUUUGGCAAUGCAACUUCAAAGGCCACCAAAACACCCCCAGUGUACAACUGUCCUUUCUUAAGUGUGCACGGGUGUCUGUUUCUCCAUUCAGUGUCUGUACUAAAGCAAUGUCUGGGUUGGCAUGGCGGCUCAGCAGGUAAAAGUCCUAACUGCCCAGUCUGGUGACCUGAGCUCAAUCCCCAGGAUCCUCACAGUAAAAGGAGAAAAUCAACUCCCACAAGUUGUCCUCUGACCUCCACAUAAGUACAGACAGAAGAGAAGCACAUAUGUGUACACACACACACACACACACACACACACACACACACACACACUUUCCUCAAUAAUCCCAGCUUUGCUUCAAACUGGGUCAUUUUCCGUGGGGAACCGGAGAGCCCAGCUCCCCCUGACCAGAGGCUCAGCUGUGGAGUGGGUGCCCCAGGGAGGGCCUGGCAGAGGCUGGGUCUUUCUCUGUCUCCUGGAGGUUCAGCUGGAAUUGUUAGCAGUUUGGGGUGGGUCCUACCUCAGAAUUAAGAAAACUGCAGUGACUCUAGGUCAUUCCUUGUGGAAUUGUGUUUCCUGUGUACAGUGGAAUAUUACCUGUCCACUAAAAAGGAAUGGGCUCUGUGAGAAAAGGUGCCAGGCCUCAGGGCCCAAGCUAUCCUCUGACCUCCAAGACCUGUGUGUGUUGACAGACACUGAUACAGACGCAGACAGACAGACAGACGCAGACAGACACACACACGCACACACACACACACAGACACACACAGUCAUUUGCACACAAACAGGAUGGUCUUUAUGAUUACCCAGCAAGCACUUUACCAAUUGAGUCAUCUCCCUCCUCCUUCCCUCCCACUUUUUCCUUAAUUGUCUCCGCUGGAAACCCAGCCUCAGUUUCCUUCUCAGGAGGAUGGAGAAAGAUCUAAGAAGUAUUCCUGCUGGCAUAAGGAGUGAGGCUCAUACUUGAUUGUUCACGGAAAGUGCUGAGCAGGCCCAGGAAGCAGCCACAUAGGACUUUUCUCUGUCUCUAAGCAAAGCUGCCUGUGAUUGGCUGAGACUUCUCUUUUUCCGAGUAAAGCUGCCUGUGAUUGGCUCUGACAAGUUUCCAGGAAGGAGGCCAGAUGAGGACCCCAGCUGCUAGCCAAAAAGCUGCCCAGGAAAUGGCAGCACAUUCCCAUGAUCCUUAGCUGUCCCAGGAGAGCUCCAGCCUCGUUCCAUCCUGACCUCAGACUAACUUUCCAAACUGCAGCUCUGUGUUCAUAUUUACUUGCCCUGGAUCUUGGCGUCCCAGAGGGGGCCCAGAAUCAGGAGGGAUUCAUGGUACAUUGGGGGCACCCACUUCUUUCAGGUCUGAUUCUUGUACCUGACCUGGGGUAAGGUGCGAUUGGAUAGGCUGCCCUGGUCCCAGCAGGCCCCCUCCCCAUCCCCCAACACCCAUUAAUUAAAAUGUGAAUCAUAGCUGAGUCACUAAAGGGAGGGGGGAAAAGGUCAAUGAGCCAGUCUGCCUUCCCCACUCAGCUCCAAGGCAUGAGUCAGCAAAGUACCGAUCAAAAAUGGGGAAGGGAAGACGAGAGAGAGGUGUGCGGCUCAGACUGAGAAGCGCAGUCAGCGAGAGCUGCUUUAGUUCUUGGGUUAGCAAAAAAUAGUUUCCUCGCCCCUCCCACUAGGUCCGUCAGCCAGCCCUCUGCUGAGCACAGCAGUUCUCGCGUCAGUGCCCAGCUUUUCCUCCAAGCGGAGCUUCAGUAUUUCGGUUCUUGCCUACUUCAAGGAUGGCACCGCUAAGAAUCAAGUGUCAACUCCCCUCUCCCUACUCCACCCCACCCCCAAAGCCCACCAAUCUCUUUAAAUUUACAUGUGACAGUCCUGGUCUGUGGUGAGCACACUGCCAUCCAGUCAACAGGAAAUGACCACUAGGUGGGAGAAGAUUCUGGAAGUGCCGAUCUCCUAGCUUUAUCACAUGAUACCCAAGCUGGGACCGGUGGUGCAGGCCUAUAGUCUUAGCUACCCCUGCUCGGGAAUCAGAGGCAGGAGGAUCACAAGUUCAAAGGCUGACUGCACAGAGUGAGUUGAAGGCCAAUCCUGGGUGACUUAGUGAAAUCCUGUUUUAAAGUAAAAAUUAAAAAGGGUUGGUGGUGGAGCUCAGGGCCAGAGCUCUGGCCUGGACAAACCAGGCCUGGUGGAAGGACUGCCAGAAACACACACACACAUCACAGACACACAGACACACACACACACACACCACAGACACACACACACCACACACACACACACACCACAGACACACAAACACACACACACACCACAGACACACACAUACCACACAUACACACACCACACACACACACACACACACACACACACACACACACACACCACAUAGACAUACGCACGCACACACACACUGGUACCCUGUUAACAGCUAGUGGAGAGGGAUGACAGGCCAAUAAGUCUGUCUCACCCUGUCUCUGGAAAGGUAGAAAGAUAUACCCAGAAAGAUAUACUGAGCACUGAGGAGUCUCAGACUGACCAUAUACUCCAGACACGCAUUAGGUGGCGUGCGUGCAUGUGUGCAUGCAUUCGAGUGUGUGUGUGUGUGUGGUCACUGGGGACUGUGGAAUGCUGGCCUCUCUCUUUCUCAACCCUCCUCCUUCCUUCUCUCUCCUUCCCAGCCAGAAGCACACUCUGUUGCUACUGGUGUUGUGUCACUGUGCCACACAUGACUGCUGUAUGAGUAGAGUGGCUGUUACACACCAGUGUCACCACAAACAUUCAACUCAUGCGUGCCGGGGACUAAGGGGUUACUAGGUCUAAGGAAGCUUAUUCUUACUAAGAACUGAGUUCAGGGCCUGUGUAAAGCAAGGUAAGUGCUCUGACACGGAGCCACACCUCAGCUUCUCCCUCUGCUUCUGAGCCAGUCUCAUGUACUCCAGACCUCCACACCUGAUCUUCCUGCCUUUGCCUCCUGAGUCCUGGAGUCCCAGAUGUGUACCACCAAACCCAGCUCCUUUUGAUACUUUGUAUUUUGAGACAGGAUUUUACUAGCUCCCAAUACAUGCAAUCCUCCUAUCUCAGCAUCCCUCGUAACUGUAGCUCCAUCUUUUCCUUUUCCCUUCUUCCCCGGGCCCUGGGGAGAGAACUGAGGUCCUCCUUCAGUUCAAGGUAAGCUUUGCUGCUAAGCCCUACCCCAGCCAGGUAAGAAUAUUUAAGUAGCAUCAACACUCACGGGACCAGUCCCAUCCUAUGUAAGCCCAUCACCGGCUGAAAUGUCGUGAGGUGACUCAUUACAGUCAAUGUUGAUAUGUACUCAGUGAACUUCUAGAAUGUUCUGGGACACUCUGAGUCUUACACAUUUGCACCCAUUUUAAUGCUCACAAAAGUUUAACAUAAUGAGGGCUUUUAACAUGAUCCGACUUGGUAGACGUUGGCCCAGACCCUUCUGUGGCUCUCCUGUGCUUUCAAACACAGUCAGCAUCCCUCAAGCACCGUCUGGUCCCCGCUGGCCUUCAGUGAAUUUCCUUGACAUUUGUUUGAAUCCCGACCUGAACACAUGCAGGACGCGAGCCUGUGUGUGUGUAGCACAGGAGAGCACACAUCCUGUUUUCUGUAUCAAUCUCGUGUCCCAGCCGCCUGGUGUCCCUGCCAUCUGAUGCACGUCCUCAGCCUCAGUGCCAGCACUGCUGGGGAGUCCAGGGCCCCCUGGCACCCAGCAUCCAACGGGCAUGCAGCUCUACACUGAGGGCAGAACCCCCCAGAGACGACACGGAGCUCAGGAAGAGCACAUGGAACUCAGGAAGAGCAAGUGUGGCGGCGGGGUUUUCCUCUGCACCCCCAGAGGCCCUCUGCCCAGACAAACAUGUGCCCACUUUUGGGAGAUGUGUAUGGUUUUCUUGAGAAAGGAUCUCAUCUGGCCCAGGCCUCCACCUUUGGGAUCCUGGGAUGACAGGUGUGCACCACCGGGCCUAGUCGCUGGGGGUGGAACUCAGGGCCUCACAUUGACAGGCUGAUUAGAAUUUUUUUUUUUUAAGAUAAGGCUGCUGUCUUCCAGGCUGGCCCCAGAUUAACAGCCAUCCUCCUGCUGUAGCCUCUCCAGUGCUGGGAUAACAGGUGUGAGCCAUUACACCCAACUCAAAAUUACCGAGUUCUUAUGGAGACUUCUGGAUAGAUAGCCUCUGCAUUUACAAACAGGGGGGAGCCACCCCCUGAACCUUGUCUCUUUUCCCAUUUGACAGUUUAUUCUGGAUGAGGAAAUGACCAUCACAUCUUCAUCUACACCACAGAAGCAUGCUACACACCUUCCCUGCCAUGAGCUUGCCAGAAAGGCCAAGCAAAGCAACUGUUUUAGAGACCAGAAAGGGUGGCACAUGCUUUUAAUCCUAGCACUCAGGUGGCAGAGGCAGUUGGAUCUGGGAGCUCAAGACCAGCCUGGUCUACAAGAGAGAGCUCCAGAACAGCCAGGGAUACACAGAGGAACUUGAAAAACAACAAAAAUUUAGAAUGGUGGGUGUGCACCGUAGGUGACCUAAAAACUGCUAUUAGUACCUACAGAUUCUGCCUCCUUCCUUCCUUCCUUCCUUCCUUCCUUCCUUCCUUCCCUCCCUCCCUCCCUCCCUCCCUCCUUCCUUCCUUCCCUCCCUCCCUCCCUCCUUCCUUCCUUUAAAAAAGUAUUAGAUUUGAUUGAUUGGUUUUCCAAUCUCACUGUAUAGCUUAGGUUGGCCUCAAAUCCUCCUGCCUCAGUCAGCAUCCCCGGUGCUGGGGCAGCAGGCAUGCGUCCAGAGCCUGCUUGUUCCCGGUGUUCAGUAUCUCUUAAGAUAUCACAAGUGAUGGGUGAACCGGAGUUAAUUUCACAGCCCAGUCUACGCAAUCUGGAGUUAUACCCAGCCCUUUGCUGAAACCCUGAUGUAGUUGAAGGAAUAUAUAUGUGACACGGGCAAGAAGAAACGGGGUGAGGCACUGGGGUGGCUUCCAAGAUGCCUUAUGCCUUGAGUCCCAUCGUCCAGGAGUCCUCCUCUGGGGUCCAGCAUGUCUGUGAACAGUGUGCCACUGUGGAACAUCUUGCCUUGCAGUUGACAGAUAGGAACUAAUCCACCCAAUGAGGUCCUCACACAGGCUAACUGCUUUCUAACUAGUCUCCCUCCUCUCUCUAAAAGAUUACUUUUAUUUUUCAAUUACGUAUGUGGGUUUAUGCACAUAAGUGCAGUUUCCCAAGGACAUCAGAAAUAGGUGUUGGAUUCCCGGAGCUGGAGUCCUAGGUUCUACAGUGGGCGCUGGGAACUGAAUCUUCUGGAAGACUAGCAAGUGAUCUUAACCAAUGACCAACUCUUUGGGCCCGUUCUCUCUCUUUUUAAAAUGAUUGAGAGUGGCGUGUGUGUGUGUGUGUGUGUGUGUGUGUGUGUGUGUGUGUGUGUGUGUGUUCUAGCUGUAUGGAUGCCAAAAGCAGGCGUUAGGUCAGAGUACAGCCUCAGGUGUUGGUUCUCCCUCCCACCUUGUUUGAGACAGGGAUUCUGAUUCUCCAUGUCCACAGGCUGGCUGGUCUGUGAGCUUCUGGGAGGUGCCCUGUCUCUGAGUCCUAUCUCGAUAUGGAAGCGCUGGGAUUACAGGAGUGUGGUACCGUGUCUUGGACAUGGGUUCUGGGACUCCAAACUCAGGCCAUCUUGUUAGGUAUCGCUCCAGCUCCUGACUUAACGGUUGUUACCCUAAAAAUUACAAUGCCCUUCCCAAAUUCAUCCAUGGAUGUAGAAGAUGUGGCUGGCUCCCCAAGGAAAGAGUACCCAGGGAGGUGAUGAAGGUUGAUCCCAUGAGGUGUCCUUGAUGGGGUGGAAAGAUGCCUGUGAGCCUCGGCUGAGUGGUGGGAAGGGUGAGCACACAGGUGGGAGGAGGGAGGAGGGAGAAAGGAGGAGGGAGGAGCGGAUCGUGAUCUUUAUGAAAAUGUAUUUUUGUAACUCUGGGUUGAAAAUAGAUACACCAACUUCACACUGACUGUUCCAGCCCCGUGACGUGUUCCUGCUAGCUGGGGCUUUUCCAUCCGGCACAUCUCCAUGGCAACGGGCCACAUCUCAUUCAUGUUGCCAUCUCCCAGGUUACCUUGCUGGGCUCAUUCAUGACUAUUGCCAUGGAGACUGGUUCAUUGAUACAAUCUUGAGGCCUGGGAACUUGGCUUUCCUGAAUGGUGGGAUUAAAUUAUGGUUAAGAAGUGAGGGUUGGCAGUGGCAAGAGGGUUCUGAGCUGAGAUUUGGGGUGCUAAACACUAACCGUCAUGAGGAAGAGGACCUGGUGGAGAGACACCUGGUAGGGUAAUAGCACUAGUUGAGAUUUUCUUUUUUCUUUGAGACAAGGCCUUAUUAUGUAGCUCUGGCUGGCCUGGAACUCAUAUAGAUACCCAUCUCCCCAGUGCUGGGAUUAUAGUUUGUACCACUGCAUCCUACCAGCUUGCCAGGGCAAUCAGUCUCUGUUUUAACAUGUGAGAAAGUGGUCCUUCAACCAGCACAAGUUGCCUUCUAGUAGCCUCAGGGUUGUUCCUGAUGUCUGUGUCUCCGGCCACUACUAUAAUGCUCAGUACAGUACAAGUCUACCAGUAACCACUCGGCAUGUUAAACCUGUCCUGCGAGUGCAAAGCACAGACGUAUCACAACGUGCUCUACCCGGCACCUUCCACCCCAUGCCCACACCCUCACCCACUCCACACCAAGAGAACCUUCUUUGCUCCCUCUGCUUGCUGGCUGGCUCUCACCUGAAGUCAAGCCUUUCUCUCUCCUCUGGUGUUUUAUAGUGUCCCAUAAAACACACCGGUUGGAAACUUGAUCCCCAAAUGUAUAUACAGUCAUGGUCUUUGAGGGUAAUUCGGGUUAGAUGAGAUCCUGAGCUGUGGACCCCCAAUGAAGGUGUUACAGGAAAAGGAAGAGGGACUGGAAUGGACAGGAUGUGUCUGGGUCACUGUGGGUCCUCUGCCAUGGUCAGGUGUGGGAAGAAGCCCUUGUGGUUACCAGCAGCGUGCUCUGAGACUCUGAAGUCUCCAGAGAAAUGAUCUGGGAAACCCCCCCUUUUUAUAAAUGACCUGGCCUCAGGUAUUUUCCCCCAGUAGUGGAGAACAGUAUGCUUUCUACUAUGCUGGAUGUUAUUCUUUCUUGUCCACUGAGGUGUGCCUCUUGUUAACUCUUUUUUUUUUUUUUUGGUUCUUUUUUUCGGAGCUGGGGACCGAACCCAGGGCCUUGUGCUUCCUAGGUAAGCGCUCUACCACUGAGCUAAAUCCCCAGCCCCGCCUCUUGUUAACUCUUGGUUAUGUAGUGCCUGCCUGUAAUCGCAUUUAGGGGGACUGUAAGUUUCAGGGCAGCCUGAGCUACACAGUGACACCCUACCAUAAAACAAACAAACAAGAAAAAGCAGCCAAGAACUGGGGGGCUGUGGCUCACUGGUAGGGUACUUGCCUCCCAUGCACAUGGCCCUGUGUUUACCACUAGCACAAUUCCAGAAAGAGGACAGGAGCAAAGGUCGUGCUCAACGGCACAGUGAGUUCAAAGCCAACUUGUGCUACAUAGGCAAUUCCAAGUCAGCGUAGGCUGCAUGAGAACCCGUCUCCCCUCCAAAAGAUAAAAAAGAAGCAAAUGUGUGAAUUCCAUUUCUUCUGCAGUUAACAACCUAUUUUACUCUCUCAGACCCUGACAAAAACUCUUAAAAUAAGAAUGCCAGGGUAGGGAGGCGGGAGGGAGUGGGUGGGUGGGUAGGGGAGCACCCUCAUGGAAGCAGGGGAUAGGGGGAUGGGAUGGGGGGUUUCCAGAGGGGAAACCAGGAAAGGGGCUAACAUUUGAAAUAUAAAUAAAGUAUCUAAUAAAAGAAAAGAAUGCGGGUUGAGGAUUUAGCUCAGUGGUAGAGCGCUUGCCUAGGAAGCGCAAGGCCCUGGGUUCGGUCCCCAGCUCUGAAAAAAAGAACUAAAAAAAAAAAAAAAAAAAAAAAAAAAAAGAAAAGAAAAGAAUAAAAAGGCCCUUAGAAUUUUUCUGUGUAUGUGGGCAGGUGCGUGUGUGUGGAGGGUCAGCCUUUGGGAUGGUUCCUGAGGAACAGGCCACUCGGCAGUUUCUAAGGCAGGGCCUCUCAGACUGGAGCUCACCCAUCAGCCAUGCUGGCCAGCCACUGAGCUCCAGGGAUCCACCUGUCACAACCUCCCCAACACCAUCCCUGUCUUCUCCUCCCCUUUACCCCAUCUUUCCUCUUCCCUCUCCCUCUCCCUCUUCUAAAAUAUUCGGUCACUUCGCUGUUCUUGAACUCCCUACAUAGACCAGGCUGGCCUAAAAAUCACAAGACAUCUACCUGCCUUUGUCUUCUGAGUCCUGGGAUUAAAAGUGUUCGCCAGCACACCCAUUUAUUUUGUAUGUGUAUGUAUGUACUUGCAUGAGUUUAUAUGCAUCGCAUGCAUUGUCCUUGUCCUUAGAUCCCCUAGAAGCAGAAUUACAGAUGUUUGUGAGUACCAUGUGGGUGGCUGGGAACUGAACCCAUGUCCCCUGCAAGUAUAGCAAAUGUUCUUAACCACCGAGCCAGCUCUUCAGCCCCAUCUGGCUUCUGUGUUGGUCCUGAGGAUGGGACUGAGAUCCUCACUUGAGUGCCAGAUACUCAUUGCCUGACCCAUCUUCAGCUUCUUGUUCUUUAUGGCUUCUUUUCGUGAGCAGCAGAUUUAUUUGUACAAGAGUACACAAAGAGUCAUCUUCACCGAAUUGACUAGGGAUGCUCAGUGGUCAGUCCAAGCUUCCUUCCAGCUGUGGCCAUCUUUUCCUGUCUGUCCUGAACACUCAGCAGCAGAAGAUAAAAGAAGAGGCCCAGCUCCCAGCCCAGUUCCUCAAAGGAUCCGCCUGCCUCCUCUUGCUCUUAAAACCAACACCCAUUUCAUCUGCAGGCCUUUGAUUUCUACACUGACACCAACCGUUCCUCUGCCUGCUCCGACGGACAGUGAGUCCCAUCGAUCAAUUCAGGUCAUCUACCUGGUGGCAUGUGACCUUACCCAAAUGAGCCAUCUCACCUGCUCAGUUUCUGAAUUUGGAAGAGGAGGAAGCACAUGGUACACAUGAGACAAACAGCGGGGGAAGUAAGAGGUGUGGGGGCUCUUCCUCUCGGCGGACUUUCUGGAGGUCUGAGAUUACUCUUCAGUCAGUAAUGGAAAGUAAGAUUCAUUUGCUAGAAAGGGUUCUCCAGGCAGGAGGGCUCGAAAACAGCUUCUGUAGGCAACACUAAAAUGGGAAGUGACAAGACUUAACUCAAGUGAUCAUGUGACAAGAAGGGUAUGUUUGGGGCAGACAUGAUGGUGCAUGCUGGUGACCUCACUACUUAGAAGGCCAAGAGAGAAGGAUAUUGAACUCAAAGCCAACUUGGGUCACAUAGUGAAACCCCCACCACAAAAGCCAGAGGUGGGGAGGAGGAGGAAGAAGAGGGAGGUGGGGAGGAAGAGGGUCAGAGUCGGAGUCAGAGUAUUCAAUCAGCAGUAAUUCGGAGCAGGUGGAGGCCUGAGGGGACGCUGACCUCAGCAGUACAGAGGUAACAAGCCUCUGUCACAGAUGGGCAUUAGAUGGAGACAGACAGGGUUGUGUCCAAGAGUGAUGAAUGUGGUGACUAAAGAUUCAAGGAGGGAGAGGGAGCCAAGAUGGCGUCGAAGCCCCCAAUCGGGCAAUAGGUAGAUGUCAUGUUGCUACAGAGGGAACAGGCCUGGGCUCUGUGUGCUAUAUGGGGGGCCACCUGUGCCACAGCACCAUGACACAGUCUGUGCCAGGUAGCUGGCUGUGUCCCUCUAGGGAGGCCAGCUGUGGUCACAGCGUGGGCUAGCCAUCUGCUCUGCAGCUCCGAGUUCUCGAUGCCUGGGCACUCUGCUAGAAUGUGGCCGAUGAGGCAUGGUGGAGAGUGGCGGAACCUGCACCCUAACUGUUUUGUUUCUGUGUGUGCCACAUGUGCUUGUAUACAUGUUCAUGUGCAUGCACACAUGUGUGUGCAUCUUAUGCCUGCAGAGGCCUUAGGUUUAUGUCAGGGGUCUUCCUAUGUUCUUCCUCUAUUCUGUAUAUGCAGUUUAAAUAUUUGAGACAGGACCUCGCUCACUAUAUAGCCCUGGCUAGCCUGGAGCUCACUAUGUAGACCAGACCGGCUUCGAACUCAGAGCUCCUCUGACUUCUGAAGGCGAGAGUUAAAGGUAUGCCCUAUUGUGUCUGGAUCCGCUUUAUUUUCUGAGACAAGGUCUCUCACUGAACCUGGAGUUCACUGAUUGGUCCUCGGUGUGGGGGUUACAGAUACACCACCGUGCCCAGCUUUUACGGGCUCUAGGGAUCCAGACCCUGGUUCUCACGCCCGGCAAGCAUUCUACCUCGGAGCCAUCUCCCCCACACUGUGCCCUAGAACUUUCUCUAAGGCCUUUCUUCCAUGUUUUGUCUUUUCCCUUAGUUGUUGACAACUGUGGAGGACUCAGUGGAAGAUCCCACUCCAUCGAUGAAGCCUCAAGAUGGACGAAGCCUGGAGCCCCGUGUGACAGGUGGAGCUGAGCCCAACCACACCCAGCAUCCCAUUGAUUUGGACCAUGGGACCCGGUAGAAAUAAUAUUAUCUCUGUAAGUCACUGAGACGUGGGGGGAAUUGUGCCAGCCGCCACAGUUCAGUCCAGCCUUCCAGACACACAAGGAGCACUGACAGGCAGGGGCGUUCCCAUGGAAACAGUACAUACAGGAAACACAUGACCAGAUCCUUCUCCUUUCACAAUACUUCUGUUUCAUCUACUUUUAAGUUUUUAAUGGUCAUUUAUGUGGGUAUCUGCUGGAUGUGGCUGCUGGAAACGGAAGCAAACGCUCUCAACUGCUGAGCCGGCUCUCCGGCCUCCCAUCUACUUUUCCAAAGAACUUUAAGAUGACAUUACAGCCUGAGUAUCCUCAAUCCACCAGCCUGAAAUACAAGACUCAGAAAUCCACAAUA